UGUGGUUUGAGAGGCGAGCGGACUCCUAUUUAAGUUGAGGCCCAGCGAGGGAGCAGGAGAGAGACGGAGGUUUGGUAGUCACUGAAAAUGAUGACAGAUAUUUAGAGAGAGACGGGGGAGAGAGAGACGGGGGAGAGAGAGACGGGGGAGAGAGGGCUAAAUGGCUUUAACACAAUCCUGUGCUUUUGUACUCCUUUGAAGUGCUGCAGACUAAUAACCUCUGUGUGUGAGUCUGUCUUUGUGUGUGUGUGUGUGUGUGUGUGUGUGUGUGUGUGUGUGUGUGUGUGUGUGUGUGUGUGUGUGUUGUUCAUGUUUGUGUGUGCACGGUUCCAUUGAGAGUAUAAUGGCACAGAAUUAUUUUUAAAGUUAUUUUUAGGAACUGAAGAUGUGCGAAUUUCUUUCUUCUGCUUACUUUUUUAUUUUUUUUACCCCCACAACGUAUUUGGUUCAACAUCCGACCCUAUCAUCCUUCAGGACUUUGAACUUCCUCAAUUACACAAGACACACAAGGGAGAGGACUAGAGGAGUGGCUGUGUGUUUGUGGAUGUGUGUGUGUGUACAUGUAUACACACACAAACACAUGAGAACACACGCACACACAAACACUGCGUGCCGUUCUGAUGUUGCGGACAUCUGUUGACGUUUGUUUCCUUUGUUGACAUUGAGGACAUCUGGUGAUGACGGAAGAUGCUAAGCAUGGCGGAUACAAAGCAUGGAGAAACACUAGGACGGCAGACAGGUAGACAGACAGACAGUUAGAGAGACAGAGAGGUUGAGAGGUAGAGAGGUAGAGAGACAGACACAGAGAGAGACAGAGGUAGAGAGACAGACACAGAGAGAGACAGAGUAGAGAGACAGAGGUAGAGAGACAGACAGAUGCAGAGACCGACUGGUAGAGAGGACAGACAGGGAGAUAGACAGACGGGUCGAGAGACAGACAGACAGGUAAAGAGACAGACAGGUUGAGAGGUAGAGAGACAGACACAGAGAGAGACAGAGACAGACACAGAGAGAGACAGAGGUAGAGAGACAGACAGAUAGAGAGACCGACUGGUAGAGAGACAGACGGGUAAAGAGACAGACAGACAGGUAGAGAGACAGACAGGUUGAGAG